rnacentral:lncRNA from 1 species
GAAAUCUAGGAAAGCCUUCUGUACCAGAACACAAAGGGGAUCAUGGCCAAACACAACCAUUCAGGCCUGCAUCACACCAGACAGAUAUUCCAAGUUUCUUCCAGGAGAGAAGGGGUUGAAAGCCAGAGCCAAAGUGAAAUGAACACAGAUCUCUCUUUGGAAAUGAUUGAGAAGAACUGGUGAAUUGGGCUUCUUGGCAUCUGCUCUUUACAUGUGAGUACAAUCCUGGUUUCUACUAUGCGGUCUGACGUCAUUCAAGGGGAUCUUCCCCAGGUUUCAAGCAGAAAACUGUUUUGUUGGACCAUCACAAUAUAAUCCCUUCACUCUCUAAGAGUCUACCAGACUCCA